rnacentral:tRNA from 1 species
GGAAUUAGCUCAAUGGUAGAGCAGUUGCCCAUAAGCACAAGGCCCUGGGUUCAAUUCCCAGCACUA